rnacentral:siRNA from 1 species
UGGUGGAGGGACUGCAUUCCC